rnacentral:tRNA from 3 species
GGAUGAUUAGCUCAGUGGUAGAGCGCUUCCUUGACAUGGAAGAGGUCACUGGUUCAAAACCAGUAUCGUCCACCA